AAUAGAUACCCAGGUAGUCCUAGCCGUAAACGAUGAACACUAGGCGUAGUCGGUAUCGACCCCGGCUGUGCCGUAGCUAACGCAUUAAGUGUUCCGCCUGGGGAGUACGGCCGCAAGGCUAAAACUCAAAGGAAUUGACGGGGGGCCCGCGCAAGCAGCGGAGCGUGUGGUUUAAUUCGUCGCAACGCGAAGGACCUUACCAGGGCUUGACAUGUGGCGGAAAACGGCGGAAACGUCGUCCUCCCGCAAGGGACCGUCAUGCAGGUGUUGCAUGGCUGUCGUCAGCUCGUGUCGUGAGAUGUUGGGUUAAGUCCCGCAACGAGCGCAACCCCCGUGGCAUGUUGUAUCUCUCAUGCCAGACUGCCGAGAGAAACUCGGAGGAAGGUGGGGAUGACGCCAAGUCAGCAUGGCCCUUACGUCCUGGGCUACACACACGCUACAAUGGCCGGUACAACGGGUUGCCAAACCGCGAGGUGGAGCUAACCCCUUAAAGCCGGUCUCAGUUCGGAUUGCAGGCUGCAACUCGCCUGCAUGAAGGCC
rnacentral:rRNA from 1 species